GAAUUCGAUUAUUGUCGGAUGCGAAUUUUUCGAAAGCGUAUUUUCUGCGAUAAAAUGAGUGGAUUAAUAACAAAAAGAUCUAAAAGAAAUGAAACCCGUGUUUUUCGAUCAUGAUAAAUCUGAGGAAGUUUAUAAAAAUCCAAAAUACAUCUUUAAUCAAAUAAAACUAUUUUAGAUGCGUUAACAAUUUAAAUGAAAUUUGAAAGACUAGAAGCAAUUAUCUGCGACAGAAUUUUUCUUUACCAGUGAUUAAAAAUGGAAUAGUCAUUUUUGUGUAAUAUUCAUUAAUGUGAAAUAUGUUUGUGGUGUUUUAACAUCGAAAGUUUUCGCGGUUUUCAAGAAAUAUAUUAUUAUAACAAACUUAUUGUGAAUAAUUUAACGUAAAUAAUUUAGAAUUAAUUAUUAAUUUAAAGAAAACUUUUAUUAAAACAUAAACACCAAGUAUUUUCUUUUCAAUCAUCAUUGAAACAAAUUUAACUGAUUGUACAAUAAACAGAAAACGGAAAAUAUAGAUAAGGUUUGAAGUAAGAUAUAUAAUAGUUGACUAUUUAAUAGAAAAUAAACAAGUAAUGAAAGUUAAUUAUCAUGUAAAUAGCUACAUCAAUUAAAAUUUUACUAUUUAUCAAUCUACUCGAAUAUGAAAAUAUAGACUAUAUAACAUUAAACGUUCUUGUAAUGCUAUGAAAACUUGUGAAUAGUUAUUAAAAAUGUUUAUAAAGCAAUCUAAAAAUAUGCGUACAUUUGUUAUAAAAUGUUUAAAUAAUGUAAAGUAAUU